ACAACAAGUCAAAGCUCGUUAAUGAGUGAUGGCGUGCCUUUUGUAGAAUGAACCGGCGAGUUACGAUUGCAUGCGAGGUUAAGUCGAAGAGACGGAGCCGCAGCGAAAGCGAGUCUGAAUAGGGCGAAUGAGUAUGUAGUCGUAGACCCGAAACCAUGUGAUCUACCCAUGUCCAGGUUGAAGGUGCGGUAAAACGCACUGGAGGACCGAACCCACGUACGUUGAAAAGUGCGGGGAUGAGGUGUGGGUAGCGGAGAAAUUCCAAACGAACUUGGAGAUAGCUGGUUCUCUCCGAAAUAGCUUUAGGGCUAGCCUCGGAAUUGAGAAUGAUGGAGGUAGAGCACUGUUUGGACUAGGGGCCCAUCUCGGGUUACCGAAUUCAGAUAAACUCCGAAUGCCAUUCAUUUAUAUCCGGGAGUCAGACUGCGAGUGAUAAGAUCCGUAGUCGAAAGGGAAACAGCCCAGACCACCAGCUAAGGUCCCAAAAUAUAUGUUAAGUGGAAAAGGAUGUGGGGUUGCACAGACAACUAGGAUGUUGGCUUAGAAGCAGCCACCAUUUAAAGAGUGCGUAAUAGCUCACUAGUCGAGUGACCCUGCGCCGAAAAUGUACCGGGGCUAAACAUAUUACCGAAGCUGUGGACUACACCAUUAGGUGUAGUGGUAGGAGAGCGUUCUAAGGGCGUUGAAGGUCGAUCGUGAGGACGGCUGGAGCGCUUAGAAGUGAGAAUGCCGGUAUGAGUAGCGAAAGACAGGUGAGAAUCCUGUCCACCGUAUGAC
rnacentral:rRNA from 1 species